UACGUAGGGUGCGAGCGUUGUCCGGAAUUAUUGGGCGUAAAGAGCUCGUAGGCGGUGUGUCACGUCGAUCGUGAAAACUUUCAGCUUAACUGGGAGCUUGCGGUCGAUACGGGCAUCACUGGAGUUCGGCAGGGGAGACUGGAAUUCAAGGUGUAGCGGUGAAAUGCGCAGAUAUCUUGAGGAACACCGGUGGCGAAGGCGGGUCUGUGGGCCGAUACUGACGCUGAGGAGCGAAAGCGUGGGGAGCGAACAGG
rnacentral:rRNA from 1 species